rnacentral:rRNA from 1 species
UCGGCUUAGAGUUUGAUCAUGGCUCAGGACGAACGCUGGCGGCGCGCCUAACACAUGCAAGUCGAACGAAGGAAAUCUUCGGAUGGAUUAGUGGCGAACGGGUGAGUAACACGUGAGUAACCAACCUUCGAGCGGGGGACAACAUUUGGAAACGAAUGCUAAUACCGCAUAAGACCACGAUCGCAUGAUCUGCGGCCAAAGGAGCAAUCCACUUGAAGACGGACUCGCGUCCGAUUAGCUAGAUGGUGAGGUAACGGCCCACCAUGGCGACGAUCGGUAGCCGGACUGAGAGGUUGAUCGGCCACAUUGGGACUGAGACACGGCCCAGACUCCUACGGGAGGCAGCAGUGGGGGAUAUUGCACAAUGGAGGAAACUCUGAUGCAGCGACGCCGCGUGAGGGAAGAAGGUUUUCGGAUUGUAAACCUCUGUCUUCGGGGACGAUAAUGACGGUACCCGAGGAGGAAGCCACGGCUAACUACGUGCCAGCAGCCGCGGUAAAACGUAGGUGGCAAGCGUUGUCCGGAAUUACUGGGUGUAAAGGGAGCGCAGGCGGAAUAGUAAGUUGAAUGUGAAAACUAUGGGCUCAACCUGUAGACUGCGUUCAAAACUACUGUUCUUGAGUAAUGUAGAGGUAGGCGGAAUUCCUAGUGUAGCGGUGGAAUGCGUAGAUAUAGGAAGAACACCAGUGGCGAAGCGGCCUACUGGGCAUUUACUGACGCUGAGCUCGAAAGUAUGGGGAGCAAACAGGAUUAGAUACCUGGUAGUCAUACCGUAACG